CCAUUGGUUUAUAUUUAUUGUCCUGUAUAUAAUAACUGGUAAACUACAACUAAGUGACUUUUAUACAAUUCAAAGGUUUAGCAUUGUACUCUUAAUAACGAAACAUGUUUAGAUUAUUGAAGGUAACACAGAAUGAGUGACAGGAGGCUUGACAAAUGGGAAGGAAGACAGGGUCUCUGGUUGCAUCAUCACCAGCAGCUGUCCCAGCUAGCACAUUUGGUUCCUUGGAAGCUGUGGGAACGUACAUUUUAAGUAGUUAAGAUUCCUGACGGUUAAAACAAAAACGUUUUGUAUUACUUUCUGAGAAUAGAAGUGAAAACUUAGCCUGUUCUGGGCACGUUAAUAUUUAGGUUGCAGGGUUCCCCUGAAAGCCAGCCUGGGAGUUUUUUUAUUAACAUUCUGAGAAUGGAAAUUCAAGGAUAUUUUGAAGGUAAUUAAAUAACGUUCUGAGAACAUGUUUCAGUAAGACUUUUAAUAACGCUGCUAGUUUAGUUUGGGUUAACUGUUAUGAACUCCCAGCACAGAUAGGACACAUGGACAGUUAUUUUUCUGGGCAUUAAAUCAUGCAAACACAUUCCUUUUUUAUUGUGGCAUGUGAGAUUCAAACCUAUGAUCUUCUGUUCUCUAUCCAUGGAAUUAGUCCACAGCUCCACCAAGAUGGAGCUAGCAUGCCAUGUUAAAAAGAAAAACUCAAACAAACCUGUUCAUUUUAGUCUUUACAAACAGACCCUAGUUAUUUCUCAACGUUCUGUGAACGUGACUUUAAAUAGAACCGUGAAGAAACCUGUAGAAAACAUUUUUGCUGAAGUACUGAAAUUCCCACAGAAGAAUGUUAUAAAACUGUAGUAAAAAUGUAAUGGGACAGUUGUAUACUAAAUAAACAUAGUACGUUCAAGCUCUAACCAAGCUCUAAGAAACAUAUGGUUUUCAGAACGUUAUGUGCUAGCUGGGGACCUAUCAGCACGGAGACAGGGAACAUGAUUGACAUCAAGUGGGACUACCUGUGUCUGGGUGCAAGCGUUUUGCUAGCUGGGGCAUUUGCCACAUACAGAGUUUAGGUGACCCACUGGCUUGUAAAACAAGCAGACCCUCUGUCUUUGACCUCAUGUCAGGUCAGAGCCGGUUACCAGGACACCUCUGGUUAAAAGCAGGGUGUAGGGGAUAGAUUAGCCUUAUACAGCAGGGGCAAUGUGAUUGGUAACACCGACCACAAACUCGCCCAAUCAAAACACCUUUGUCUGCAGAGAGCCAAUCCAGGACUGGUUUAUGAGUUCGACAGUAGGAGUUGGUAGAAGUGGAGCUUUGGAGCCCUGCAGAAUAACAGCCCCUCUAAGACUGUAACUAGGCAUCCCCUGCACCAGGAGACAGACAGACAGGUAACAGUCCCCCUAAGACUGUAACUAGGCAUCCCCUGCACCAGGAGACAGACAGACAGGUAACAGCCCCUCUAAGACUGUAACUAGGCAUCCCCUGCACCAGGAGACAGACAGUCAGGUAACAGCCCCUCUAAGACUGUAACUAGGCAUCCCCUGCACCAGGAGACAGACAGACAGGUAACAGCCCCUCUAAGACUGUAACUAGGCAUCCCCUGCACCAGGAGACAGACAGACAGGUAACAGCCCCUCUAAGACUGUAACUAGGCAUCCCCUGCACCAGGAGACAGACAGACAGGUAACAGUCCCUCUAAGUAACCCUGUGUAAGAGCAUUAUACAUCAAGGGAUUGAAAACCCGGUCCCCAUAGCAACAAGCUAUUAAAGGAAGCAGAAGUUUUCAUGACAAAAAAAAGGAUUUGGGUUAAAACAAUUGACGUUCUGUUUGUUCAUAGAUGAAAACGUGUUCAUAUGCAGCAAUUCUAUCUCCCAUUAAAUAUUAAGAUCUCAACAACACGGUUCUUCAAAGUGUUUUUAAAAACAUUCGAUGAGACAAAAAAACAAAUAAAUAAUCAAAUAAAUAAACAAAUAAAUAACAUAAGAAAUAGAUAAAUAAUUGGAAUAAAUAACUGAACAAAUAGCUGUGGAUAAAAGAUAGACCCACAUGAUCGCAUGGAUGCUUUUGCAGAAAAUAUCUUUAGAAAGAGCAUCUUUCCAGAGCGACUUCACAUCACUGGUCAUUGAGCAAGAGGUCUGGACAUAAUAAAUAGUGGAAUAAGGAAGAGAGGAAAAAGUACAUGAUAAUCAAACAUCUGUCCCUUGUUUUUUUUUUGCCUCAGUGUGUGAUUACAGGUCAGGAAUGUCAGGGCCAUGUUCGGUAACAAAAUGUUCUCGAUCGUUUCAGAUAUAAAUACCACAAAUAGGGCCGACGUGAUUCCUUAUUCUACAUCUCAGAGAUCCAUGUUUGUUCUACAUAGCAUACUUCUAUCUGAAUGUGCCCCAAGUCAGAAUAGGGGCAGGGACAGAUGCACCCUGGGACCUGUAGUCCUAUAAUGGCAGGGGGAGGGACAGAUGCACCCUGGGACCUGUAGUCCUGUAGUGGCAGGGGCAGGGACAGAUGCACCCUGGGACCUGUAGCCAUGUAGUGGCAGGGGCAGGGACAGAUGCACCCUGGGACCUGUAGUCCUGUAAUGGCAGGGGCAGGGACAGAUGCACCCUGGGACCUGUAGUCCUGUAGUGGCAGGGGCAGGGACAGAUGCACCCUGGGACCUGUAGUCCUGUAAUAGCAGGUGCAGGGACUGAUGCACCCUGGGACCUGUAGUCCUGUGGUGGCAGGGGCAGGGACAGAUGCACCCUGGGACCUGUAGUCCUGUAGUGGCAGGGGCAGGGACAGAUGCACCCUGGGACCUGUAGUCCUGUAGUCGCAGGCAGCUCUCUGGUACAAGCAGCAGUCUUCCUCCUUUCUGUUGCAUCAUCAUGCGAAGUCACCAUCAAAUAACAAGCCUCUUCCAAAAAAAAUCACAUAGAAUAUACAGUGCAUAGUUUACAAGCCAGAACUUACAGUUUAGAAUCAUCUAUACAUCCUGAUAUAUCAGUUCCCUUCUGCAUGCUAAAUCAUCAGCCAUCUUUUCUUUUGUUCUUUAUCGCAUCUGUUUUGAUCUCUCUGGUUCCUAAGCAUAAGUGUCUUUGGGGAAAUUACGUCAUGACAUUGGAGGAAGAAUUUCCCAGUGCUGUUUGAUUUGAUUUGAUUUCUUUCACUUGUAUCUCUUCUUUUCAUCUUCUUUGACAAACUCCGUGGAAGUGUCCCAAUGCUGGAACAUUUUUUUUUUUUUUGGGGGGUUUACUUUUGCUAUGCAGAAACAUAUAGAGAAAGUGCUUACAGAAUAGUUCUUUAUCAAUUAUUUUCUAAAAGCAUGAUCUGAAAAAUGUUAUUUUAAAUUGUGCCUGUGUGAAGACAAAUGGAUAUUUCAGAUCCAGGCUCUGGUUAACGCUGGUAUUCAGAGAUGGAGACUGAGGAUGGUAGAAAAAACAGAGAAGGUCUGACCCUGUGUUUGGACCAAUCAGGGACGCAUAACAUGAUUUAUCUCCCUCCCCCUCUCUCUCCCUCAAUCUCUCCUGCUGUUCUCCCCCAUCUAUCUCUCUCUCUCUCCCCCCCCAACUCCCCCUCUCUCUGUCUCUCUCUCAUCAGAAGCCGGGGCUUUCAUAGCUGCUGCGACUGUAGUUGCUGUGGCUCCUGGGGCUGCGUGAGCGGCUGUGGCUCCUGGGGCUGCGUGAGCGGCUGUGGCUCCUGGUGUGGCUGUGACUGCAGCUGUAGCUGCGGCUGCGACUCCUCCCUGAAUGGGAGGGGCUUGACAUGGAACUGGAGGAGGAAGGGCUGGGGCGGUAGUACGGGAUAGGCCGCUUCCGAGCGCUGAGGAGAGGAGAGGGUAGGAGAUUAGACAGUACAUAAAGCUCUUGUAGGAGUUAGUUAGUGUGAGGAGGACCAGCACAUUGACAGCUGACCAGAGAGCGUGUUUUCUUGUCUCGGUUACAGUAUGGUCCAGUAGGAAUGCUUUACGUUUUGCAACAUAAUCCAUUUUUGAAAUACUCUCAGAAUUUAAAUAUCAAAUGUAUUUAAAAAAAUAUAUGUAUAAAUAA
ensembl:lncRNA